UGGGGAAUAUUGCACAAUGGGCGCAAGCCUGAUGCAGCCAUGCCGCGUGUAUGAAGAAGGCCUUCGGGUUGUAAAGUACUUUCAGCGGGGAGGAAGGGAGUAAAGUUAAUACCUUUGCUCAUUGACGUUACCCGCAGAAGAAGCACCGGCUAACUCCGUGCCAGCAGCCGCGGUAAUACGGAGGGUGCAAGCGUUAAUCGGAAUUACUGGGCGUAAAGCGCACGCAGGCGGUUUGUUAAGUCAGAUGUGAAAUCCUCGGGCUCAACCUGGGAACUGCAUCUGAUACUGGCAAGCUUGAGUCUCGUAGAGGGGGGUAGAAUUCCAGGUGUAGCGGUGAAAUGCGUAGAGAUCUGGAGGAAUACCGGUGGCGAAGGCGGCCCCCCGGACGAAGACUGACGCUCAGGUGCGAAAGCGUGGGGAGCAAACAGG
rnacentral:rRNA from 1 species